CCUACGGGGGGCAGCAGUGGGGAAUAUUGCACAAUGGGCGCAAGUCUGAUGCAGCCAUGCCGCGUGUGUGAAGAAGGCCUUCGGGUUGUAAAGCACUUUCAGCGGGGAGGAAGGCGUUAAGGUUAAUAACCUUGGCGAUUGACGUUACCCGCAGAAGAGGCACCGGCUAACUCCGUGCCAGCAGCCGCGGUAAUACGGAGGGUGCAAGCGUUAAUCGGAAUUACUGGGCGUAAAGCGCACGCAGGCGGUCUGUCAAGUCGGAUGUGAAAUCCCCGGGCUCAACCUGGGAACUGCAUUCGAAACUGGCAGGCUAGAGUCUUGUAGAGGGGGGUAGAAUUCCAGGUGUAGCGGUGAAAUGCGUAGAGAUCUGGAGGAAUACCGGUGGCGAAGGCGGCCCCCUGGACAAAGACUGACGCUCAGGUGCGAAAGCGUGGGGAGCAAACAGGAUUAGAUACCCGUGUAGUC
rnacentral:rRNA from 1 species